GAUGAAGAACGUAGUGAAAUGCGAUACGUAAUGAGAAUUGCAGAAUUCAGUGAAUCAUCGAGUCUUUGAACGCACAUUGCGCCCCCUGGUAUUCCGGGGGGCAUGCCUGUCCGAGCGUCAUUGCUGCCCUCAAGCACGGCUUGUGUGUUGGGCCUCCGUCCUCCUCCCGGGGGACGGGCCCGAAAGGCAGCGGCGGCACCGCGUCCGGUCCUCGAGCGUAUGGGGCUUCGUCACCCGCUCUUGUAGGCCCGGCCGGCGCUUGCCGACACAUCAAUCUUUUUUCCAGGUUGACCUCGGAUCAGGUAGGGAUACCCGCUGAACUUAAGCAUAUCAAUAAGCGGAGGA
rnacentral:misc_RNA from 1 species